rnacentral:lncRNA from 1 species
UUGUCCUCGAGAACAUGUGGAUGUGGGAGCAAUUCCCAGAAAGGGGAAGGUGGGCAGACAAGCCAACAGAUGUGUCCCACUAAAGAGGGUGGACUCCUGCUCUUAUCUCAGUGACAGAAGACAGCUCUGAAGGAGGAAAGAGAUCAUUCCCUUUGCUGGCCCUUGGACUGAAUACUUGGCACAGCAGUUUGGAACCAGAACAUCCCUUAAAAAUAAUCUACUUCAAUGGUUGGCAU